GCCUGCUCCUUGAUCCUGGCUAAUCCUCUGUGCUAAUCUGCCCCAAUCACGAGUGAGAGCCAAGGCAGGAAUAGUCCGACCAUCACAAGUCCCAAUCUAACGUCCCGUACCAUUCACAACUUUCAAUGGGGUAAGACGUUUUGGUGUCCCAGACCAGCAACGGGCCCAGAGGCCGGAGACAACUCUCCGGGGUAGAACCAUGUGCACCACCAUGAUGGUCCUGACCACCAUCGCUAUCAUCCUGCGCCAGAGGUUCUCCAAUAAAAUCAAACCGCAGAAUGACAACGCUGAUAUGAAAAUGCCGUACAUGAAGAGCAAUGGGACAACGGAAACCCCACAAUGACAACAACUAAGGUGGAUUCAGAUGUCGGCCUGCUCUGUACAGAUGAAGACUCUGAUCAGGAGAAUAUAUAAAGGAACAUGGCCGACACAAAUGGCGAGAGCUGUUCUGACGUGGCCUCGCCUUCCAUGUUCAGCGGGGGUUUUCAUUCCUGGAGCAGGAAGUGUCAGCACAGGUUCAAAUUCCACUGGAAGAGGGAUGAUACCUUACAAAUGCUGAAUUUGAGCCAUUAGACAUUAUUCAUGACCUUCAGGCUUGUGUUUUUUCUUGUUUAAGGGGAGUAUGUUUCUGACUCAUGCGUAAAAAAGGUCAGGAACUACAAAGUGCACUUUGAAAAAAAAUGUAUUCUCUCCAAUUAAAUGAAUUAAUUUAAAGUCCAGGGUUUUAUUCUGCCAUUAAAGGUAAAAUAAAUAAAUAAAAUAAAACUUAAUGUUUUCUUCUUCUACUGUGAAGCUACCAGAGAUGUGGACUUGGCAUAAAAUGACUUGGACUCAAUUCAGACAUGGAUCACAAUUUUAAUCAUUUUAAGCUCAACAAUGAAAUCACAAAUUAGACCCUAAUACCAUUGACUCAUAACUUUUUCCAGACUUAAGCCUUUUAAAUAUUUUUAUUUUUUUCCAUCAAACGAAAAUGUGUCCCUCAUGCAUUCCUUCAGUUGGCUAAGGUUAAUUUAACUGAUUUUCAGUCAGUUUACGCCGACUACCCAGAGUUCCUAGAUUUGACACAACAACCAGUGAAGUUGCAGAUAAAAAACAUGAAGAAAUACAGCGAUGUUACCCAGCAGUGCCAUAUGGAGAAAACUGGCACCUUCGCACGUCCUCAAAGUACAAACCUUGAAAUAACCUUUUUAAAAUAAUUGAACUUGCUGAAAUGUAAAUAAAUCAAAGCCUUAACUAUGAAACAUUCUUAAACCGAUGUUUCCUUAAUGUAGUUUCCAGUUAAUUUUGUGCAUUCUAAUAAAACACAUUUUAGGAAAAAAAAAAGUAGUUGAACUAACAAAGCUAUCUUGUGUUACUAUGUUCCUACAUGAAAUCCAGUCAUUUAAUAAACACAUGACCUUUAUGAUGGUCAUGUGUUUAUUGACCAUGAUAAACACAUUGCCAUGGCCAAUAAACAGCUGGUCAUGUGUUUUCUUAUUUUUUU